CAUUAAGUGGCUGAAAGUUAAGCAAUGGUCUCUUAAACCAAUAAAUAGUAAAUUACGUAUACUCUUAAUG
rnacentral:tRNA from 1 species